rnacentral:lncRNA from 1 species
CAUCAACCAAUAGUCAGAUGGUUGAUGGGGUGUGCAUCAACCAAUUAGUCAGAUGGUUGAUGGUGUCGUGUCAUCAACCAAUUAGUCAAGAUGGUUGAUGGUGUCGUGUCAUCAACCAAUUAGUCAAGAUGGUUGAUGGUGUCGUGUCAUCAACCAAUUAGUCAGGAUGGUUGAUGGUGUCGUGUCAUCAACCAUUAGUCAGGAUGGUUGAUGGUGUCGGGUCAUCAACCAAUUAGUCAUGAUGGUUGAUGGUGUGGUGUCAUCAACCAAUUAGUCAGAUGGUUGAUGGGGUCGUGUCAUCAACCAAUUAGUCAUGAUGGUUGAUGGUGUCGUGUCAUCAACCAAUUAGUCAAGAUGGUUGGUGUCGUGUCAUCAACCAAUUUGUCAUGAUGGUUGAUGGUGUCGUGUCAUCAACCAAUUGUCAUGAUGGUUGAUGGUGUCGUGUCAUCAACAAUUAGUCAAGAUGGUUGAUGGUGUAGUGUCAUCAACCAAUUAGUCAUGAUGGUUGAUGGUGGGUCACACCAAUUAGUCAUGAUGGUUGAUGGGGUCGUGUCAUCAACCAAUUAGUCAAGAUGGUUGAAUGGUGUCGUGUCAUCAACCAAUUUGGUCAUGAUGGUUGAUGGUGUCGUGUCUCAACCAAUUAGCAAGAUGGUUGGUGUCGUGUCAUCACCAAUUUGUCAGGAUGGUUGAUGGUGUAGUGUUCACAACCAAUUUGUCAUGAUGGUUGGAUGGUGUAUGGUCACAACCAAAGUCAAGAUGGUUUGAUGGUGUAGUGUCAUCAACCAUUAGUCAUGAUGGUUGAUGGUGUCGUGUCAUCAACCAAUUAGUCAAGAGGGUUGAUGGUUAGUGUCAUCAACCAAUUAGUCAAGAUGGUGGUGGGUCGUGUCAUCAACCAAUUAGUCAUGAUGGUUAUGUGGCGUGUCAUCACCAAUUUGUCAUGAUGGUUGAUGGGUGUCGUGUCACAACCAAUUUGUCAUGAUGGUUUGAUGGUGUAGUGUAAUCAACCAAUUAGUCAAGAUGGUUGAUGGUGUAGUGUCAUCAAGAGGGUUGAUGGUGUAGUGUCAUCAACCAAUCCCCAUUAGAAGAAGUUAUUAAUGACAUACAGUGCCUUGCAAAAGUAUCGGCCCCCUUGAACUUUGCGACCUUUUGCCACAUUCAGGCU